AAUAGAUACCCAGUAGUCCACGCCGUAAACGAUGUCGACUUGGAGGUUGUGCCCUUGAGGCGUGGCUUCCGGAGCUAACGCGUUAAGUCGACCGCCUGGGGAGUACGGCCGCAAGGUUAAAACUCAAAUGAAUUGACGGGGGCCCGCACAAGCAGUGGAGCAUGUGGUUUAAUUCGAUGCAACGCGAAGAACCUUACCUACUCUUGACAUCCAGAGAACUUAGCAGAGAUGCUUUGGUGCCUUCGGGAACUCUGAGACAGGUGCUGCAUGGCUGUCGUCAGCUCGUGUUGUGAAAUGUUGGGUUAAGUCCCGCAACGAGCGCAACCCUUAUCCUUUGUUGCCAGCGGUUAGGCCGGGAACUCAAAGGAGACUGCCAGUGAUAAACUGGAGGAAGGUGGGGAUGACGUCAAGUCAUCAUGGCCCUUACGAGUAGGGCUACACACGUGCUACAAUGGCAUAUACAAAGAGAAGCGACCUCGCGAGAGCAAGCGGACCUCAUAAAGUAUGUCGUAGUCCGGAUUGG
rnacentral:rRNA from 1 species